rnacentral:rRNA from 1 species
CCUACGGGCGGCAGCAGUGGGGAAUAUUGGACAAUGGGCGAAAGCCUGAUCCAGCCAUGCCGCGUGUGUGAAGAAGGCCUUCGGGUUGUAAAGCACUUUCAGUGGGGAAGAAAGCCUUGGGGCUAAUACCCUCGAGGAAGGACAUCACCCACAGAAGAAGCACCGGCUAACUCCGUGCCAGCAGCCGCGGUAAUACGGAGGGUGCGAGCGUUAAUCGGAAUUACUGGGCGUAAAGCGCGCGUAGGCGGUCUGAUAAGCCGGUUGUGAAAGCCCCGGGCUCAACCUGGGAACGGCAUCCGGAACUGUCAGGCUAGAGUGCCGGAGAGGAAGGUAGAAUUCCCGGUGUAGCGGUGAAAUGCGUAGAGAUCGGGAGGAAUACCAGUGGCGAAGGCGGCCUUCUGGACUGACACUGACGCUGAGGUGCGAAAGCGUGGGUAGCAAACAGGAUUAGAUACCCGGGUAGUC